UACGGGGGGGGUAAGCGUUGUUCGGAAUUACUGGGCGUAAAGGGCUCGUAGGUGGCCAACUAAGUCAGACGUGAAAUCCCUCAGCUUAACUGGGGAACUGCGUCUGAUACUGGAUGGCUUGGAUUCGGGAGAGGAAUGCGGAAUUCCAGGUGUAGCGGUGAAAUGCGUAGAUAUCUGGAGGAACACCGGUGGCGAAGGCGGCAUUCUGGACCGACAUUGACGCUGAGGAGCGAAAGCCAGGGGAGCAAACGGG
rnacentral:rRNA from 1 species